GAUCCCUACGGGAGGCAGCAGUGAGGAAUAUUGGUCAAUGGCCGAGAGGCUGAACCAGCCAAGUCGCGUGAGGGAUGACGGCCCUACGGGUUGUAAACCUCUUUUGUCGGGGAGCAAGACCCGCCUCGUGCAGGCGGAGCGAGAGUACCCGUAGAAAAAGCAUCGGCUAACUCCGUGCCAGCAGCCGCGGUAAUACGUAGGGGGCAAGCGUUAUCCGGAUUUACUGGGUGUAAAGGGAGCGUAGACGGCGUAUCAAGUCUGAUGUGAAAGGCAGGGGCUCAACCCCUGGACUGCAUUGGAAACUG
rnacentral:rRNA from 1 species